AAGUCGAGCGGACAGAUGGGAGCUUGCUCCCUGAUGUUAGCGGCGGACGGGUGAGUAACACGUGGGUAACCUGCCUGUAAGACUGGGAUAACUCCGGGAAACCGGGGCUAAUACCGGAUGCUUGUUUGAACCGCAUGGUUCAAACAUAAAAGGUGGCUUCGGCUACCACUUACAGAUGGACCCGCGGCGCAUUAGCUAGUUGGUGAGGUAACGGCUCACCAAGGCAACGAUGCGUAGCCGACCUGAGAGGGUGAUCGGCCACACUGGGACUGAGACACGGCCCAGACUCCUACGGGAGGCAGCAGUAGGGAAUCUUCCGCAAUGGACGAAAGUCUGACGGAGCAACGCCGCGUGAGUGAUGAAGGUUUUCGGAUCGUAAAGCUCUGUUGUUAGGGAAGAACAAGUACCGUUCGAAUAGGGCGGUACCUUGACGGUACCUAACCAGAAAGCCACGGCUAACUACGUGCCAGCAGCCGCGGUAAUACGUAGGUGGCAAGCGUUGUCCGGAAUUAUUGGGCGUAAAGGGCUCGCAGGCGGUUCCUUAAGUCUGAUGUGAAAGCCCCCGGCUCAACCGGGGAGGGUCAUUGGAAACUGGGGAACUUGAGUGCAGAAGAGGAGAGUGGAAUUCCACGUGUAGCGGUGAAAUGCGUAGAGAUGUGGAGGAACACCAGUGGCGAAGGCGACUCUCUGGUCUGUAACUGACGCUGAGGAGCGAAAGCGUGGGGAGCGAACAGGA
rnacentral:rRNA from 1 species